rnacentral:rRNA from 1 species
UACGUAGGGUGCAAGCGUUAAUCGGAAUUACUGGGCGUAAAGCGUGCGCAGGCGGUUUUGUAAGUCUGUCGUGAAAUCCCCGGCUCAACCUGGGAAUUGCGAUGGAGACUGCAAGGCUAGAGUCUGGCAGAGGGGGGUAGAAUUCCACGUGUAGCAGUGAAAUGCGUAGAGAUGUGGAGGAACACCGAUGGCGAAGGCAGCCCCCUGGGUCAAGACUGACGCUCAUGCACGAAAGCGUGGGGAGCAAACAGG